CNUUGUAGGAUAUUUAGCAGCAUGCCUGGCCUCAGCUCACUGGGUGCCAGUAGCAGCACCCCCAGCCCAGUAUGAUGCCUGAGAAUGUCUGCAGGUACUGCCCAAGUCUCCUGGGAUGCCAAGGUGCUGGUGGCUGGGAGCCCCACACCCAUCCCUGGUCCUGCAGCAGGGCUCAUCCACACAGACCCUCAGCUGGUUCACUAGCCAGAGAGGAAUGUGGGCUAGGCACCAGAGGACAGGAGAGGACAGGAAAGACUCAUGGAUGAUGAGCCCUGAGGGAUGAGCAGAUGCUGCUUAUCUGGGACUCCAGGGCAUUUCCUAGGCUGCUCAUAACAUAUGCACUUGCUGAACAACAUGCUGCUGGA
rnacentral:lncRNA from 1 species